rnacentral:rRNA from 1 species
UACGUAGGGAGCAAGCGUUGUCCGGAAUCAUUGGGCGUAAAGCGCGCGUAGGUGGCCCUGUAAGUCCGUUGUGAAAGUCAAAGGCUCAACCUUUGAAAGCCGAUGGAUACUGCAGGGCUAGAGUCCGGAAGAGGCGAGUGGAAUUCCUGGUGUAGCGGUGGAAUGCGCAGAUAUCAGGAGGAACACCAAUAGCGAAGGCAGCUCGCUGGGACGGUACUGACACUGAGGCGCGAAAGCGUGGGGAGCGAACAGG